AACUCGCCUACAUGAAGUUGGAAUCGCUAGUAAUCGCUGGUCAGCUACACAGCGGUGAAUCCGUUCCCGGGCCUUGUACACACCGCCCGUCACACCAUGGGAGUGGGAUGCAAAAGAAGUAGUUAGUCUAACCUUCGGGAGGACGAUUACCACUUUGUGUUUCAUGACUGGGGUGAAGUCGUAACAAGGUAGCCGUAGGGGAAC
rnacentral:rRNA from 1 species